CAACACUUUGUAAAAGAAAAUGAAGAGGACAGUAAGAUAAAUAAAGAAUUGCCUGGAGCAACAUGGGUUUAAGUGGCAUGUUCUAAAAGACUCAACGGAGACCAUUCUAAGCCGCUACCCUGGGAAAUGCAGACUAAACGAAAUGCAAUUUUAAAACCAGGUGGCGGGAGGCAAUAGUUUAAAUUGCCCUGAACACACCAGUAUGAUGUCAAGAGUUGCAUCGAGUGCAUACCCUUAAUGUGCUGGAAAAAUACUUCACACAUCAAAAAAACACACUUUUGUUGAAAAUGUGGAACCCCUCUGCCAUUUCAGGAAGAGGAGGCCAACAUUCUGAAGAUUUAGUGUUGCUCAAUAUGAAUUGCUCAGAGAUUGGUACCAUGCGUACUUUAGAAACUAGGUUAGGGGAGAGGUCUACGAGUGAUGAAUCACCAACUACAAGUGUGCAGGAACUAAGACAGGUGUUGCAAUUAUGACCUUUAUGAGGUUAUUAUAUUUUGGAGCUAGCUGUAAAUUUAGGGUAAAUGAAGAGAGUCAUAUGCCAGUAAAUCUGAGUGGUUUGAUUGUUACAGGUCAAAGGAAAGCUUAGAUUGUUUUACUGAGAUGAAGAUGCAAGGUUUUUGUGCUUGGAAACAAUGACAGCAGUCUAUGUGUUUGCAAUGAGUAGACUCUGAUACUCCUAAAGUCUCAGAAAGGUGUUGGAAGGAACCAGGCUAUAAACAGUUGUGUUGUAAAUGGUCCAUUUACUUACACACAGCACACAAAGACAGUGUUCCCCCUCUGUGAUGAAAAGGAGUUGGGAUCAAGGAUAGCUAAUUAACAUUUCUACCUAGAUACAAGUUUAAUUUGUUUCACGGUGCCAUGGGGAAGAGGGCAGAGGAAGCCAUUUUUGAGAUCAGAUUACAUGCUUCUCUACAAAUCAAUGAAUAUCACAGACAGACAGCAGAGGUCAUGUGUGGUCAGUCGAGAGAAGAAGCUGCUUGGCUUUGUGGCUACCAUAGCCAGGUGCCAUAGCCAUAGACGUAAAUGGUCUCUAGUCAAAGAUACACACCCCACAGCCAUGCAAAGAUUCCGGAAAAUUCAUCCUGGCAUGACCAGGGGCAGGAGGAGAAUCAUUAGAAAAGGCUUUACUGCCGAUGGUGGAUUCAAGGAACUCUCAGAAAACUGAUGAAGGUACCUGGAGACAGUUACUUGCAGUUACUACUUGGUGAAGUGGGGUACAGGAGCCCAUUGGAAGCUGGGAGCAACUGUGGACCAUUUACUAAAAGAACUAUAUUUCUGUGGAGAGUGCAAUGUGUGAUAAGUAUAAAAGGAACAUGUUUCUCUCUAUAGUUUAAAAUAUAUGUUACAUACAAAAAAUAGUGUUUAGUCAAUAGUGCUUUUAAUCAUCUAUAACAGUA